CAACCCUCAGGCCACGCCUGGUGUUGGGUCGCCACCGCUCGGUGGGGCCCGAAAGUCAGCGGCGAGCGUCCCCUGGACCCGAGCGUAGUAGCAUACGUCGCUUAGGGCGCCGGGAGCGGUUCCAGCCGUUAAACCCCCCAUAUUCUAAA
rnacentral:misc_RNA from 1 species